GUGUCAGCAGCCGCGGUAAUACGGGGGGUGCGAGCGUUGUCCGGAAUCACUGGGCGUAAAGGGCGCGUAGGUGGUUUGAUAAGGCUGUGGUGAAAGCCCGGGGCUCAACCCCGGGUCUGCCGUGGCGACUGUCAGACUUGAGGGCUCGAGAGGCAGACGGAAUUCCGGGUGUAGCGGUGGAAUGCGUAGAGAUCCGGAAGAAGACCGGUGGCGAAGGCGGUCUGCUGGCGAGUACCUGACACUGAUGCGCGACAGCGUGGGGAGCAAACAGGAUUAGAUACCCUCGUAGUCC
rnacentral:rRNA from 1 species